rnacentral:rRNA from 1 species
AUUGAACGCUGGCGGCAGGCCUAACACAUGCAAGUCGAGCGGAGAGGCGGACGGGUGAGUAAUGCCUAGGAAUCUGCCUGGUAGUGGGGGAUAACGUCCGGAAACGGGCGCUAAUACCGCAUAAUAUCAGAUGAGGCUAGGUCGGAUUAGCUAGUUGGUGGGGUAAAGGCCUACCAAGGCGACGAUCCGUAACUGGUCUGGGAGGAUGAUCAGUAACACUGGACAGAGGACACGGUCCAAAGUCCUACGGGAGUCGGCAGUGGGGAAUAUGGGACAAUGGGCGAAAGCCGGAGCCAGCUAUGCCCCGUGGGUGAGGAAGGUCUUCGGUUUGUAAAGUAUUUUAAGCUGGGAGGCGUUACCAACAGAAUAAGCACCGGCUAACUUCGUGCCAGCAGCCGCGGUAAUUC